rnacentral:rRNA from 1 species
GACUAACGCUGGCGUCGUGCUUAACACAUGCAAGUCGAACGAUGAUCUCCCGCUUGCGGGGGUGUUUAGUGGCGAACGGGUGUGUAAUACGUGAGUAACCUGCCCUUGACUCUGGGAUAAGCCUGGGAAACCGGGUCUAAUACUGGAUACUACUUCCUGCCGCUUGGUGGGGGGUGGAAAGGGUUUUACUGGUUUUGGAUGGGCUCACGUCCUAUCAGCUUGUUGGUGGAGUAAUGGAUCACCAAGGCGACGACGGGUAGCAGACCUGGGAGAGUGACCGGCCAGACUGGGACUGAGACACGGACCAGACACCUAAGGGAGGCAGAAGUGGGGAAUAUUGCAGAAUGGGCGGAAGCCAGAUGCAGCGACGCGGCGAGGGGGAUGAGGGCCAGCGGGUUGAAAACCUGUUACAGAAGGGAAGAAGCAACAAGUGACGGUAACUGCAGAAGAAGCGCCGGCUAAAUACGUG